rnacentral:rRNA from 1 species
UACGUAGGGCGCAAGCGUUGUCCGGAAUCAUUGGGCGUAAAGAGCUCGUAGGCGGCCUGUUACGUCCGCUGUGAAAUCCCGGGGCUUAACCCCGGGCGUGCAGUGGAUACGGGCAGACUAGAGGUAGGUAGGGGAGAAUGGAAUUCCCGGUGUAGCGGUGAAAUGCGCAGAUAUCGGGAGGAACACCGGUGGCGAAGGCGGUUCUCUGGGCCUUACCUGACGCUGAGGAGCGAAGCAUGGGGAGCGAACAGGAUAGAACCCGU